rnacentral:tRNA from 1 species
GUGGUGGCUCAGUGGUACAGCGCUUGCCUAGCAUGUAUGAGGCACUGGGUUCGAUUGUGAGUACCACA